AUUUCUUGACUUCCUCUUCUUUUUUUGGGAAACCCAAUUCCAAAGUCUUGAAACCUUUGUUAAAGUCGGGUGGGGAGAUCUCCCUUGUGCCGCAGUCUCAGGAACAAAGUGUUCCUGUUUUAGGCCCCCCCUGCUCCUGCAGUCAACCCCUUGCAAGAGCUGGAAUGUCCCCUGCAAUGGAUAUGGGAGUGCAGGGGGGUUCUGUGUACGGGAGGCCGCACGUGCCACCAUUACUCUCACACCCAGGAGUGCACCAUUUGGGGGUUCUCAUUGAGUUAUGCUUUGGGUUGGAAUGUGGAGCUGCGUCAUCCCUUCAGUUCUGGAGCACCUAUUCAUGUGUGUGAUUGAGUCUGAGCAAGAUCAUUGGCGAAUAGGUACAGGGCAAAUUUCCCAAAGAAUGUAUGACAACAUACAAUAUACAUUUAUUAUUUCUAGGCUUUGUAGAAAACAGAAUUGGUUACAGAAAACCUAGGGCACGGUUGAUAACGACUGCUUUUAGCCAUGAAUACAUGAGCUUAAAGUGCUGUUGGGACCACCAGUGCCUUUCCUUUGAACAUCCCCGAGGAGCUUUUUGGAGAAACAGAAGUCAAUGUCUGGGGUGAUGCCCCUCUUAUAAAUCAGCAAAGUAACAGAGUGGCUUGGGGAGAGAAACCCAGGAAUGUGCCAGUCGGGUAGUAAAAAGUACCUUUAUUGAAACCUGCUGAAAAGGGGAAUCUUUGUGUUGUGGUUCAGGGAGGAUCCAUCGUCUUUUCCUCAUUCGCUCUCAUUUCUCCCAUUCAGUCUGACUGACUGAAGCUUGUGUGUUUGUUUUUCAUUACUGAAAUUGAUGCCACUGAUGCUGUACAAAGACCAUUCAUAGAAAAGUUGCGUUUUCUGCUGUUUGUUUCGCACCAGAAUACCUCGACAGUGAGCAACAAUUCAGUGACACACCAGUCGUCUGAAACUCCCUCUCGGUGGGCACAGUAAGCAGUGGCAUGGUCGGGAAUGCAGUUUUCGUUGUUUUUUUUUUCUUUUUUUCGUCCGGUUAGCAGCAACAGACAGAUAGCUUCAUCCUAAGUCGCGGACUUUCAUCAAGUGCUCCUCGGGGGCCAGUGGUUGAGGCCCCUCUCCCACAGUUGAGUCAGAAUGCCACUCCCUUCAUACUCCCACUGGCUUGACCUCCACUGGCCUGGAGGCGGUUUAGGGAAUAGCGGAUAGCGGAAAAUGAGUCAGUGGGAGGUCACCGUCUCAGCGCAGAUGUAGAGAUGUAGCAAUGCUCGGAGAGCUAACCGACACAGGAACUGGAUGACUGCCCAAGGUCACAGGUUUACUACGGGGGCUGAAAGUAAGAUAAGUGAUGUUUGCUGGUAGCGGCAUAGUUACACCCUGCUGCUCAUGGAUUCCUGGAUUUUGUGUCCAUCUUAGGAGGAAAUGACUCUUGUCUUGGUUGACCCUUGAGGGAAGCCGCAUUAAUCUUUUUCUUAUGGGUGUUGUGCACUUGUCACAGAGGUGCAUUAUAGGAGUCCCUUUUGGUAUCAGUGUUGGGAAUGGGAAAGUAACUGUUGUUUUUGCCAGUAUCUAAGCUUUCUUCGUCAUUUUAUAAUUUCAGAACACGUAAAGCGCACCGACAUUACACCAUUACACAGGCUUAUUGGGAUUGUAAAAGUAGUGCAAAGCACGCCUCUUCGGCGAUUGCACAUGGGGCAAAUGACUGUUACAAAGAUGUAAACAGACAACGCUGUAAACAUGUGGCUAAAGGCAUUUACAGUGAGAGCAGCCCCGGGUUUUCUCUCCGAAGUGGAAAAGGGCAAUUGGGCCUGAGAGGAAGAGGAACAACUCAGGGGUUUUUCUUCAUUUCUCCUGUAGCAGAAAAAUAUACCGACCUCAUGAGAGAGACCAAACCGUUUCUGUUUUCUUUAAUAAGCACCCUAAUCGCUUUGACGAGCCGCCAGUCGUCAUAUUACAGAUGUUAGACUUAACAAUAAUGCGGACUUAUCACUAAGAAGCAUGUAACGGGGAGAACAAGAAGGGAGAGAUCGAGCCUCGUCAGGUCUUUCGUUACAUAACGGGCUGCGUGUGGCACUGGGAAUAUUUUUCUGCUCAGACUGGUUUGGACCGCCUUUCUCUGACCGAAUGAAAUCCACCUCAUGGAGACAAAAAUCAAGCGCAUAUGUUAGACCUGCGUCUUGUUUUCAGAGGCGAGUCAACGCGGAGUUAAGAAAACAGCUCGGGCCCCGAGUGCAGCGUGCUGAGGUCGGAGGCCCGCGGCCCCGUGGGAAUUGUAGGCUCUUCAUCUUGGCUCUCAGGGAGUCCUGAUGACCUGAAAAUCAGCCAUUUGCAAAGCUGUAAAAUGUGUUGUGCUUUUUUUUUUUUUGUUAGACCAGGAAAGAUGGUGUUGAUCGACCAUUCAGAAACCAUUCAGAGUAAUGUUUGAAGUCAGUUCCUAAAAUGGAGAACAACAUUUAUGUUUAUUUAACACGAUUUCUCCUUCCUGUCAUUCUGAGCUAAUUUGUGUUUCCUGAGAGACAGGCUGGCUGUUGGAAAUUAGAGAGAAACGACGAACAAAUUUGUGAAUUAUGAUGUACGUACAAAACAACAUUCUGGUGUUCAUCUCGAUUAAAUUCUACAAGAACGGGUCACGUUUUUUUAAACUCAGGUAAUCAGUGGUUUCUGUUCAGAUUUCAUACAUUAAGCAUGACAUCUGAAGUUGUGAAAACUGAAUAGAAACCGCUCAUUGCCUGCAAGAGAAAUGUGUGAACUGUUCUUGUAGAAUUUAAUUGAGAUGAACAUGAAGAUUUCUUUAUGUGUGAUACAGUCCUAAUUAAAUUCCAGGAGACCAAAUUUAUGAAUGAAGCUGGCGGAGAGAGGCCGCAUGUGGAUUCAGACCCAUGUCUGUGAACGAUUUUAAUUUGGGACCUCUAUUACUGAGCCGCCUUCUUGGAACAACACGAGAGAGCUCCCAAUUCCCCACAUGGUCAUGCUGGAUUUGAUUGAAAAAUUCAAAUUGAAAUGCUAUUUCGGUGUGGAGGGGAUUAAACUGUCAGUCACGGACAAGGGGGUCCAAUCAGCACUUUGCGACCUGCAGACGAUAGGUUAUUCUGGAGCUUGGGCGGGACAGAGCUGCCCCAACCGACACGCGUCAUUUUUUUCAGUAAAGUUAUUAAUAUUAAGAGAAUCGUGAUCUGUUGAAAUUCUAUAUUUUGUUUUAUUUUAUUUCUUUUAAUCUUGAAUGGUGAUAGGAAUAAUACCACUUGCUUUUGGGAGUAUUAUGUAACUCAUGGGAAGCCACAGGACACUUUAAGCCAAGCAUGGACUUUUAAUUAAACAUUGUAUCACAGAUUACUCAUAAUGCACUUGAGUCGUGUUCCUAUUGGUGCAAUGAUGCCUUGAGACUGUCGAAAAUCACAGUUAAUCUCACAGAUCUGCCUUGGCAUGGAGUUUGUUAUCCUUGUAAUGGAGUUUGUGAUUAAUAUUUCUAUGCUGCAGUAAGACGCCUGACCAACAUAAUUGACUUAAUUUGUCAUAGUGUUCUGUGGUGUUAAAUCAGAAAUGCCUCAGUUUGCUAUGGGCUACCGCCUAAUAACCCACAAUCAGAUUCCUCAUUCUGACUGUUUUUCUCUGCUAUGAGUGACGAUUCAAAUGGAUUUUGCCUGUGGUUAUUUUGCCUUGCUGCAAUGUCUAGACCUUUUGAGAAAUAUGCGUCUUUUAAGGUUGGAACGAAUGCCGUGUUCAGAGAAAAUAACAAGUGCUGUCUUUCCUCCUGGCACCAGAUGGCGCUGUGUUCUCUUGGCCAAAAUUAGAACUGGCCAGUUAGCUCAGUAUCUGCUGAUCCUACGCAGUUUAGUCUUGUUAUAAAACAUUUUUUAAAUUCCUUGUGUUGCACAGUAAGAUGUGAUUAUAUCACCCAUCUAUCCCGAUCAAUGAAGAAUGCAGUGCAUGGUCAAUUUCAGAUUUAAAGAGGACACAUUGUCUACAUAGUACAGGCUGCUAUAUGAAUGUCAAUCUGGUAGUAUAGUUGUUUUGUUCCUCAAAAUCUUAUAAUAAUAAAUUGUUGUGGAAUUUAACCCAAUCAUCCUUUGUUUAAUGUGGGCAACAUAACUGUGUAAUUGCUUUACAGUUGCAUAAAUACUGUUUGAGUACAAUGGAAAAACAUUGUAUAUAUUAAAGGCUUGUGGUUAGAAUAAUGGUUUGGAACAUGCAUAUAGAUUAUGUCAAUGAUUGGUGCACGGAUUAGAUUUAAGUUUUUGAACACAAAUAUAUACAAGGAUGUGUAAUUACACCAGCCACUAACAUCAGCAGUACAUCCAUAACUUCCCUGUGGCCUUUUUCUUUCUGUUUCUUUCUACUUCUCCAUUUUCUUCUUUCUUUCUCUUUCCGCCCUUUGUUUCUCUGCGUCUGCUUCCCACCAUCUGUCUGUCUUUACUUGUUUCUACCCCCCACCAUCACCACCACCGCGUUUCUCCUCACAGUUUCUCUCCAGGUACUCUGACCAAACACAUUACAUGUGGAAGAGCCUGCUGGGCACAAAGCUGUCAGGUCACCAGGCCAGUGAACACACUCGAGCCAACACAGCAAGUAUUAACUUGCAGUUUUUUGUGAAAUUGUAUUGCAGAAAGUAAAGUUGUUAUGUGUUUGUUUGUUUGUUUGUUUGUUCAAAACGCCCCUCCUGUCUCCCGGCCUGUCUGAAAAGAAAGUUGUGUAAGUUUUUGAGAUGUCCAUUAAUAUGAUUCCUGUAAUACGGUGUUUUGAGUCCAAAUGUCAGUAGUGAAUUUAUCACUUUAUUUCAUGUAUGUUGUACUUAAUUGGUCAUUUGUACUUUUUAUUUAUGCCCUAACACUCACUUAGAUCAGAGGUCAAUGACAGUCUAUGAAGAGAGAUUUACUAUCGAUAUGACACGCCAGGGAAAAGUCUCAGGCGGUUAAAACCUUUAAAGGGUUUCAUUUCACACUGAGACCAAUGGCAUUUAUCACGCUUCUGUAUUGCCGUUCCCCCUUCACAAAGGGUUAAUGGGGAAAACGGACCCUCCAUCAGCACAGCAGGAGGUUUCCUCAACUGCAGUUGUCUAUCCGUCCUCUAAAAAUGUCACAAAAGUAGCUAUAUAUCUGGGUUCAAUGAGCACUAAUACCCAGAAGAAUGUACACUGUACAUAUUUUUCUGGCUUUAUUGCUCAGUGUACCCCGAUUUUAAAAUGGGUACAUUUUCUUCCCAAAGGGUUUGUUGGCUGUACUUUCAAUCAAAUCAGCAUGCACAUCAGGAGCAGAGCUUGACACAGUGAGAAACGCCCCUCCGUCUGUACACUUUGGUCCUGUUUAUGUCAUGUACACCCCCUGCGGUCACAUAGUACCAAGCUCAGUUGUAUGCCAAGUUAAGUGAAAAAAUGGUGACUCCGUAGUCUAUGGCAGAGCUGGAUUCACAGCAACCUUUCAGGAUCGUUUGUCUUUCAUUGUUUGUUUUUGUAUUGCAUCAGUAGCACCUGUUUCCCUCCACCGUAGCACAGUGUGAUAUGAAUUUAUCCAUUUAUCUUAAAAGGGCUUCCAAAUGUGGAAGAGAAUGAAAAGGUUCCAGUAACCAUGGCACCCACCGCGUUACUUAGUACAGUGAAAAGAAUACCUGUUUACCUCCUUGGCAUAGACGGUGUGUAUCAGACAAACUCAGCCUCUUGUAUCUUAUGUUUGAGAUUAAAGGCAUAGUAACCCUAAAAAUGUUAUUCAUUCAUUUUCCUACCCAGAAAAAUGUUUCGCCUGCUCUUUUGGCAGAUUUAAAUGGCAAUUUUAGUGGGGGAUUUUUGAUCCCCUGCCCCCAAACCCCGUUUUGUAUUUUUUU